AGGACGAACGCUGGCGGCGUGCCUAACACAUGCAAGUCGAGCGAAGCAUAAAGAUUAGCUUGCUAACCUUUAUGACUGAGCGGCGAACGGGUGAGUAACCCGUGGGUAAUCUACCUGGAAGACCGGGAUAACAGUUCGAAAGGACUGUUAAUACCGGAUGAUACCAUUAACGCAAGUUAAUGGUCAAAGGCGUUAUGUAGCGCUUUCAGAUGAGCCCGCGUCCCAUUAGCUAGUUGGCAGGGUAAAGGCCUACCAAGGCGACGAUGGGUAGCCGGUCUGAGAGGAUGGUCGGCCACACUGGGACAUGAGACACGGCCCAGACUCUUACGGGAGGCAGCAGUGGGGAAUUUUGCGCAAUGGGGGCAACCCUGACGCAGCGACGUCGCGUGAGUGAAGAAUGCCUUCGGGUUGUAAAGCUCUGUCUAGGGGGAAGAUAAUGACGGUACCCCUGGAGGAAGCCCCGGCUAAUUACGUGCCAGCAGCCGCGGU
rnacentral:rRNA from 1 species